GCGGGAAGAGCUCAAAUUUGUAAUCUGGCACUUUCAGUGUCCGAGUUGUAAUCUCGAGAAGUAUUUUCCGCGCCGGACCGCAUACAAGUCUGUUGGAAUACAGCGUCAUAGUGGUGAGAACCCCGUAACUGAUGCGGAUGCCCGGUGCUUUGUGAUAUACUUUCGAAGAGUCGAGUUGUUUGGGAAUGCAGCUCAAAUUGGGUGGUAAAUUCCAUCUAAAGCUAAAUAUUGGAGCAAGACCGAUAGCGAACAAGUACCGUGAGGGAAAGAUGAAAAGCACUUUGGAAAGAGAGUUAACAGUACGUGAAAUUGUUGGAAGGGAAACGCUUGAAGUCAGACUUGCUAUUCGGAGUUCAGCCGCAAGGUGUAUUCUUCGAUUUGCAGGCCAGCAUCAGUUUUUGGGGGUGGAAAAUCGUGGUUUGAA
rnacentral:rRNA from 1 species